rnacentral:lncRNA from 1 species
GCAAACCUGGGGGUUAGGGGAGAGGGGUGAGCUAGAUGCCCAGUGAGUAGAACUAUAAAAAGAAUAUUUAAAACAUGCUAUAAUGGAAUGCAUCAUUGCACAAACAUUUCACAUCAUGGACGGACUGACCCAAAAGUCCCUCAGCUCCAUGCCCGGCCCUAUUAUGGGCACCACAGGACUUCGUAUUGCCCGGCCCUAUUAUGGGCACCACAGGACUUCGUAAAUCGGAGCUAUUGCCCGGCCCUAUUAUGGGCACCACAGGACUUCGUACACAGGGCUAGUGAGUCGUGCAAUGUCCAUCCUCAUCAACCACAAUAUAAUAAUGCAAUGUAGCAUAUUCGUGAUUCUAAUGCAAACAUCCUAUAUUAUAGUCAUGAUGCAUGAAACAUGAUAAAACAUUCACUUUCUUAAUUUAAAAGGUUAAGUAUAGUUCCACUCACCUCUGGCUGACUCUGUCAAACUCUCAGCAGCUGGCUCACUGCUGGGGUCCUUGGUUCCUCGGGUCCGAACCUACACAGGUGGACUCCAAUGAGGGACCAAACAUAUAUAAUCAUAACUCUAAUAUAUCCCCCAAAAACCCCCUAAAACAUCAUGAAAA